AAUAACCAAAUAUAACAUUGGGACUAACGGUCAAAUUGGUAAGUUUUCUUACAUUUGCCCCCCGAGGGGCCCAGAUAUCAUAUACACCGCCAAAACAAAGAUCCUUGAGUACUAGAAGAAAA
rnacentral:ncRNA from 1 species